GUCUAGCCUGCUCAGUGACAUUUAAUGUUAAAUAGCCGCGGUAUCUUGACCGUGCAAAGGUAGCAUAAUCAUUAGUUUUUUAAUUGAAAACUAGUAUGAACGGCUGAACAAAGAAAAAGCUGUCUUUUAAAUUUUAAUUGAAUUUAACUUCUAAGUGAAAAGGCUUAAUUAAGAUAGUCUAGAGGGACGAUAAGACCCUAUAAAUCUUUAUAAGCUGAAAGAUUUAGUAUAUUUUGUUGUAUAAUUAUUUUUUCUUACUGGCUUAUUUGGUUGGGGCGACAAUGGUAUAAUUAUUAAUAACUGCUAUAUAAUAAUAUAAGUAUCUUUAAUUUUUAUGAGUUAAUGUAAGUAAAUGAUCCCUGGUUAAGGAUUAAAAGAUCAAGUUACUUUAGGGAUAACAGCGUAAUUUUUCCUGAGAGUCCUUAUCAAAGGAAAAGAUUGCGACCUCGAUGUUGAAUUAAAAUGUCUUUAUAGUGCAGCAGCUAUAAAAGAAGGUCUGUUCGACCUUUAAUAUUUU
rnacentral:rRNA from 1 species